rnacentral:rRNA from 1 species
CCUACGGGAGGCAGCAGUAAGGAAUAUUGGUCAAUGGACGAAAGUCUGAACCAGCCAUGCCGCGUGGAGGAUGAAGGUCCUCUGGAUUGUAAACUUCUUUUAUAUGGGACGAAAAAAGGCUUUUCUAAGUCGUCUGACGGUACCAUAUGAAUAAGCACCGGCUAACUCCGUGCCAGCAGCCGCGGUAAUAUGGAGGGUGCAAGCGUUAUCCGGAUUUACUGGGUUUAAAGGGUGCGUAGGUGGACUGGUAAGUCCGUGGUGAAAUCCCCGAGCUUAACUUGGGAACUGCCAUGGAUACUAUUAGUCUUGAAUUUUCUGGAGGUUAGCGGAAUAUGUCAUGUAGCGGUGAAAUGCUUAGAUAUGACAUAGAACACCGAUUGCGAAGGCAGCUGGCUACAGAAACAUUGACACUGAGGCACGAAAGCGUGGGGAUCAAACAGGAUUAGAUACCCUGGUAGUCCACGCCCUAAACGAUGAUUACUCGACAUACGCGAUACACUGUGUGUGUCUGAGCGAAAGCAUUAAGUAAUCCACCUGGGAAGUACGACCGCAAGGUUGAAACUCAAAUGAAUUGACGG